rnacentral:rRNA from 1 species
AAAGUGGAGCAAUCCAUGAGUAGAGUGGCAAACGGGUGAGUAACGCGUGGGUGACCUGCCUUCGAGCGGGGGAUAACGUUCCGAAAGGGACGCUAAUACCGCAUGACAUCCUGCCUUUGAAGAGGUGGAGAUCAAAGCUGGGGAUCGCAAGACCUAGCACUCGAUGAGGGGCCCGCGUCUGAUUAGCUAGUUGGUGGGGUAACGGCUCACCAAGGCAACGAUCAGUAUCCGGCCUGAGAGGGCGGACGGACACACUGGGACUGAGACACGGCCCAGACUCCUACGGGAGGCAGCAGUGGGGAAUUGUUCGCAAUGGGCGCAAGCCUGACGACGCAACGCCGCGUGGAGGAUGAAGAUCUUCGGGUCGUAAACUCCUUUCGAUCGAGACGAACAGCCUCUGGGUGAACAAUCCGGAGGUCUGACGGUACCGAGAGAAGAAGCCCCGGCUAACUCCGUGCCAGCAGCCGCGGUAAUACGGGGGGGGCAAGCGUUGUUCGGAAUUACUGGGCGUAAAGGGCUCGUAGGCGGCCAACUAAGUCAGACGUGAAAUCCCUCGGCUUAACCGGGGAACUGCGUCUGAUACUGGAUGGCUUGAGUUUGGGAGAGGGAUGCGGAAUUCCAGGUGUAGCGGUGAAAUGCGUAGAUAUCUGGAGGAACACCGGUGGCGAAGGCGGCAUCCUGGACCAACACUGACGCUGAGUGAGCGAAAGCCAGGGGAGCAAACGGGAUUAGAUACCCCGGUAGUCCUGGCCCUAAACGAUGAAUGCUUGGUGUGGCGGGUAUCGAUCCCUGCCGUGCCGAAGCUAACGCA